ACACUCCGGUUUCUCUUCAUUACGAACAAGCCUUUCGCCUUUUACUAAAGACUUCCGUGGAGAGGAACAUUACAGAGUAUCAACCAAUUUUUAGAUGCCCUGCUGACGCGGGGCC